GAGAGUCAAAAAGACCGCAAAACCGUUAGGAGGGAAACGAAUGCAGCUGAAGCGGCGCCUCGCGGGCUCAGGGCGCCGGCGCGGGGUCCCGGCGGGCCGCGGAAGCCUUCUGGCUCCGCUGGUUCGUCGGGUGCUCUCGCGUCGGUCCUGCACUUCCGCGAGGAGCCGGCCAACGGCGGUUGCCUUCGACUCGGCGGGCGUCUGGGGAGGUGGCUCUGCGCUUGCGUGGAGACCGUACAGCCCGGGCGCGCGGCAGUUCGAGGGCGACCGAGGAGAGCGUUGCGGUCCUUCGCACGCUGCGGUGCGGGCCGACUCCGGUCGGCUGCGGCCCCGCGUCGGAGGGACUCCCGCUCGGGUUUAACUGCGUGCAGUGGCCUGGGACGGCUGGGUCUUUCCGGUCGCGGCGGCACGACAACUCGCGCCGAGGUCGUUGGCGUCCGAAUGGCUGCAUCCGACCCGUCU
rnacentral:rRNA from 1 species